rnacentral:lncRNA from 1 species
ACCAAACUGAUCUCUUCUUCCGGCGGUGUCAACUGCUCCUCCUCCUCCUCCGCCGCUGGUUCGUUAAUUGCUCCGAUGAUCGACGCCUAUGCGACGGAGCACGUGUCCUGUUUCUCCAAUACCUCUGCAGCUCAUGCUGACGCGAGCUUUCCUCCUGCUUACCUUCCGGCUCCUCCUCCACCGCCUUCUCUGCCACGUCAGCCGCGUUGCUUCGGUAAUGACGUGGCGUUUGGUCAGUUUAUGGAUGUGGGAGCUUCUGGACAGUUCAGCAUCGACGCAGCGUUUUUACCGAAUCUACCUUCUCUGCCUCCGACGGUGUUUACAACUCCUUCUCAGCCGUUCGGAAUGUACGGUGGAGGCUCCGCCGUGAGUUCGUGGCCGUUUGCUCUCUGAUGAUCGUUAUGCGGUCACAAGCUAUCUCUAGCUAUCUACCGUUUAUGAAUUCGUUUUAAGGAAAACUAGACUUUCGUUUUAAUUAAAUGGUUUGUAUUAGUCUCGAAUCAUGUAGCUGUGUGUUGCAUUUGGUUUAUGUACGUGUUUUGUAAUGACUUUAUGCAUGUUUUAUUUCAUGAUUUUCUAUGUGAAAGUACAAUGAACUUCUGAAUUUUGUUUUGCUUACAACUAGUUUUCUAGUACUAUUGAGUGCCAUCAAAAAGUAAAAUUAUAAAACUAGUAACUCAUUUUUCUGUUAAAAACGGGAUUGAUUUUGCAAAGGUUAAAGUUCAUACUAAAAAGAAAAAUUGGAUUGAUUUUGAAAGGUAAAUGUCGAAUUUUUUUUUUGGUUAAGAAUGCUAAUAUCAUAUUAAUGAUGUUCAGAUUUUACAAAAAGUUAAAUCUAAAGUUACUACAAAAAAAAUAUGAAAAAACAGCAAUUUCAGUUCUUGUUGCUAACUUGGGAUAGAUAAGACGGAUUAAUAACAAGAUAAACUGGUGGGCCCCUUGAAUGUAAUGGGCCUUGGCCCGAGAGACGAAACAUAUAACAAGGGGUUAAAAUGGUAAAUUACAGUCGGAGACAUCAUCUCUUUCUUUCUGGAUAACACAGAGACAUCAAAGGAGACCAAAGAGAAGAGUUCGGUAGUAGAAGGAAGCCAUGGCGACAGUAGUCCAGUGUCUUUCUUCAUGUGCGAAUCUCAAUUCCAAAUUCAAAGUCCUUUCGCUUAAGGGAGCUUCUUCUUCUCCAACUUCUUCCUUCUCCGCUCGUCGUGGUGCGUCGGCUACUGUCUGUUCCUCCCUUAGCUUCUCCCAGAGCGUUUCUCAAUGUGUCGCAUUCUCUACAGGGAACAUGUUGGUACAGAAUAGGCCAAUGAGGAGGCAAAUGGUUGUGUGUGAGGCUGCUCCCACGAAGAAAGCUGAUUCAGCUGCAAAGAGAGCUCGCCAAGCCGAGAAGAGACGCGUUUACAACAAAUCUAAGAAGUCUGAAGCUCGUACUCGGAUGAAGAAGGUAAAUGGUCAGUCAUAUUACUUCGCUUCACUUUGUGUUAGUAUAUGUUUGGGAACAAAAUGUUUAGAGAAUGUUUCUCCUUGGCACUUCUUGUAGUAACCUUUGGACAACGACAGUGAUUAGUUUGAUUCAUAUUGGGAUAUUGGUUAUAGGUGGUGGGGCUUGUAGGGUGGGUUAGUCAUCAUCACCGUUGAGAUGAUUAGAUGUUUUUGUUAGAACUUGGGGAAGGUCUGAAAGUCUUUGAUAAUUAGAUAAUUAAAUGAUAAUUAAAUUAUAAUUGUUACGUAUACUAAACAGGUUUUGGAAGCACUAGAUGGGCUCAAGAAGAAAGCAGAAGCGCAACCGGAUGAGAUUGUGACGGUGGAGAAACUGAUAGGAGAGGCUUAUUCUGCAAUAGACAAAGCUGUCAAGGUUAGAGCGCUACACAAGAACACCGGUGCGCGUAGGAAGUCUCGCUUGGCCAGGAGGAAAAAGGCCGUUGAGAUCCACCACGGUUGGUAUGUCCCUGCCACAGCAGCAGCAGCGGAAGAAGCUGUGGCCAUGGCUGCCUAAAAAGAACAUGGACUAAGAUUAAGAUUGUUUUUGCUAUAAGAUAACGUGGAAGAUGUGAAAAUUGCAUCAUGUAUAAUUCAGACUCUUCUUUUGAACUGUUGAAUCUAAAGGCUUUUUGUCUUGAUAAUUGGCUUGGGCCUUGAUCUUGUUUAGUAAGGUCUCAGUUUUUGGCUCCGGCACCAUUCCUCUUCACAUCAUGGCCUUCUUUGCCUUCAUCGUCCCGUAGCUGAUAACAUCUCGUCUGCAUUUAGAAGCAAUGAUAUCUUUCCAAAUCAUGUUGGCUUCAUCAACAUUUUCCAGCACACACACAUAUUAUGCAGCUGAAAAUAACAUUUUCACAAACUUUCCAAGUUUGAAUCUUCGAAAGCCAUACGUAACAUAUUAACACUAUUGCAGUUAACCAAAAUUUCCUGAUAAUUAAUUGUUGCAAUUAAGAUACAAACUAUUAUAAUCCCUUAUAUAUAUGUACGUAGUAUAUAUGAUCAAGGAACUCGUUAGUUUUGUUUGAGAAUAGCUAUGUUAAUAAGGAUAAUUCUUAACUCUUUUUCUAGAAUAGUAAUAGAAGGUUUUAUGAAAAAUAUUUCUUGUAAUACGUCCUUAAAUUUACAUAUUAAAUUUACAAAGGGAAUUUGAUAUGUAGGCUGUAUUAGUGGAAAUUAAAUAAUACCUUAGUGAGUCCAUUGUGUUUGUAGAUAGAUCUUUAAUAGAAAUAAAAGACUACUACAUUAUUUUACAGAAUGGAUUUUUUAAUUCAUAUAUCCAGAAGAUUCUGUGGCCCAAGAAAACCCAAUCCAUUAUCCAUAAAGUGGAGACAUUAUGUAGCUGUCGUUAAAGUAAAACAAAGAAUAUAAUAAAUCAAUUAACCAUAAUUUAAUUAACUGGUCUUAAAUCUCAAUCACACGUCUCCCUGCCGUCAAGAACAGAUGGUGGGCCCACCGCCAUUGGAAUCUUGACUAGCCAACACGGCCACCAUUCUCUCCUUGUCUCCUGAUCGUUCUCCACGCGUCUGAUUGACCGUGUGGCACUAUAGGUUUGUUUUUUAAAUUCGAUUAAUUAUUUUAUUUAGUGAGUGCACUAGUGGGACCUUGUUGCCUUUUAAUAAGUUUUUGGAGGAGGGGCGGCUAUAUGUGACCUUUUGUAUUUUUAAACUUUUAAUAAAACUGUAAUAAAAAGGAGUCAAAAUCAACGUUGAAUUAGAGUUGAGUUGAAGAAGUCACCCAUACUACUUUUUUCACGCGAUCGCCGUCGGCACGUGUUUGACGGUGAGAUUCACGCGUUCACAUGGAAACGCAGUUUCUGAGCCGCGCCUCUUGCCACACGUUCAGAUUUUUCGCGUUAUAUUGUAUGGUAUAUAAGUUCCGAAUGGUAACUGCGGUUUGAGCGGUGCGGGACAAGCGAUUUAACUGUGAUGUGGUUUUAUUAGUUAUAAAAAUGUAUAGAUAUAUGAUAUAUGUAGAAAUUUUUAUUACUGUUAAUUGCGGAGCGGGGCAAAGCAGCUCGUAACAUUCGAAGCCCUAGUUUCUCUCGCAUCUUCACAGACGCAGCUGCAAAUUUAUUUCCAAGUUGUUGCAUUUAUUUUUAUCGUAGCUGAUUAUACCCAAUAUUUCCUAGUUUUGUAGAUACUUCAAACUAUGAAUUAGAUGUAGUUUUAAGGUAUUUUCAAUUGAAAUAACAAUGCACAAAUUUAUAUAUUCUGUAAAUGUAAAAAAAUCAUAAUUUUUUUUGACAACAAUAAAAUUAAACUAUGAUGUAUGCUCGUCCGACUCAGAAAAUCAAGCUAGAGACAUAGAAUCGACAUAAAACAUAGCAGAGGUGAACACCUAGCAUCUCGUAAGAGCUUGUCCGCCACUAAAUGAUGCGCCUUUGGAAUGUGUCGGAUUUUGAAAGUAGAAAAAAAAGUCUUACUGCAAUGAAACUUCUACUAAUCGUAAAUUUAGUUUUUUCUUUAUCUAAUUUAUAGCAUAAAUACUCAUAUUUUGGAUAAAAAUUAUGUGUUCGUAUAUACAUGUUGUGUGUCAAUAAAUUUAUUUGAAACAGUUUAAACUCUAAGCGUAAGCGUGCAAAUUCAAAUGCAGCUGUAGUUAAUUCUACUUAUUUUAUCUAUCUUUUAUAAGAAAACAAUCUUUUAAAUAUUUUUUUUUUUUUUUUUUGAUAUCUGGUAUCUGGGCAGCCACAUUCCCAACUAUCCCCCCGAAAGGGGUCCAGCGCCCCAACGGAAGGGAUGUUAAAUCCGUUGUGACCAAGACUCGAACCCGGGUGACGGGCAGUACAGCUAUACCUCCUUUACCACCAAGCUACGAGCGCUUGGUUACAAUCUUUUAAAUAUUAAACCACGUGAGCAACCGGCACAAAACAGUUAAAGUUACAUAGUAUAAUUAAUCUCAUAAAUAAAUGUUGAUAUGGGAUUGCAUUUUAAUUCAUUUGAUUACGAAUUGAGAAAAAUAAACGAGUAUAUAAGGAAUUCAUUGUGUGAGGGAAACACAGCAAGCCCCAUGCAUUUCCAUUCAAUGCGUAACAUAUAUUUUCCUGGUUUCCUCUGAUAUACUGCCCUUUGUAUCACUUUUUGUUUACAUCAGAUAGGUUUUUCGUUUUAAGUAAUGAUACUCUUGGUUACAAGAAAUGAAUAAAUGUUACUUUAGCAUCAAAUAUUUAUAAACAUAAAAGAUACUCCACGUGAUAAAUAGCUCUAAAUAUGUAUUGAUGAGUAAAAGUAAGAUCUGUUUUAUAAAAAAAUUGAUUGCAAAGAUAGAAUAAUUUAAUUAUCUUACUGUUAAAAUAUUCAUCAAUUACAUUCAAACAUAUAUAUAUAUUCCACGAAUGUAUUUUGUUAGUAUAUGUUUCUAUUUUUAAAGCAUGUAUAUGUGUUAUACCAUGUGUUGAUAUACAUUUUAAAUAUGAGCUAAAAAAAUGAAAACGCUUGGUGGUAAAAAAUAAAAACAAAAUGAAGGGUUAAUACGAAAACAAGGAAUCUUGAAGGAGGACACAGACACACGUGGCAAAGGAUAAGUGGAAGAUAGGAAGAAAACCAUGAAAACCGCUGUUCUUGUAAGAGAAGCCGCUAAAACCAUUUUCAGGCUUUGACUGUUCACAACAAAGCGCCCCAAAAGGAGCGUCGCUUUUACUCUCUCUCCAUCUAUAUAUAAACAACACCUCCUUCCUCUUCCAUCUUCAAUUAUCACACCACUCUCUCUCUCUCUCCCUCUCCUCCUUUAUAUUUUAGUUAUGGCCAAGAUUGGUUUGAAACCCGACCCGGUUAACAAUAAUGCCAAGGAGAUUCGUUACAGAGGCGUUAGGAAGAGGCCAUGGGGCCGUUAUGCCGCGGAGAUCCGAGAUCCGGGUAAGAAAACCCGGGUCUGGCUCGGUACUUUUGAUACCGCCGAAGAAGCGGCGCGUGCUUACGAUGCGGCGGCGCGUGAUUUCCGUGGGGCCAAGGCUAAGACCAAUUUCCCCAAUUUUCUCGAGCUGAGUGAGAAGGUGCCGGCUGCCGGCGGCGGGUUCGAGCGUAGCCCUAGGAUCGACGCCUAUGCGACGGAGCACGUGUCCUGUUUCUCCAAUACCUCUGCUGCUCAUGCUGACGCGAGCUUUCCUCCUACUUACCUUCCCGCUCCUCCUCCACCGUCUCUGCCACGUCAGCCUCGCCAUUUCGGUGAUGACGUGGCGUUUGGUCAGUUUAUGGAUGUGGGAGCUUCUGGACAGUUUAGCAUCGACGCAGCGUUUUUACCGAAUCUACCUUCUCUGCCUCCGACGGUGUUUACGCCUCCUUCUCAGCCGUUCGGAGUGUACGGUGGAGGCUCAGCCGUGAGUUCGUGGCCGUUUGCUCUCUGAUGAUUCGUUAUGCGGUCACAAGCUAUCUAUCUAUCUACCGUUUAUGAAUUCGUUUUAAGGAAAACUAGACUUUCGUUUUUAAUUAAAUGGUUUGUAUUAGUCUCGAAUCAUGUAGCUGUGUUGCAUUUGGUUUGUGUACGUGUUUUGUAAUGACUUUAUGCAUGUUUUAUUGAGAAAUCGGCCAAAAAAACACUGAACUUUGCGGG